UUUUGCUCAGACCUGCUGCUGAGAUUCGUCCUGGGGCUGCGCAGUACUGUGUCCAGAAACAAGAUCACGGUUUAGACAUGGCUUUGGAUCAAGAGCUGAUUGCAUUGUCUAAAUCUGCUCUAGAGAAAUCUCUUCCAGUGUACAUUGAAACUCCUAUCUGCAACGUUAACCGUGCUGUUGGGACAAUGCUGAGCCAUGAGGUAACUAAACGUUACCACUUGGCUGGGCUUCCGAAGGAUACAAUUCAUAUCAAGUUCACAGGAAGUGCUGGGCAGAGUCUUGGAGCUUUCCUGUGUCCAGGAAUUAUGCUAGAACUUGAGGGCGAUAGCAAUGACUAUGUUGGAAAAGGGCUCUCAGGAGGUAAAGUUGUUGUCUACCCUCCAAAAGGAAGCAGCUUUGAUCCAAAGGAAAAUAUCGUUAUCGGUAAUGUAGCACUUUAUGGUGCCACUAGUGGUGAAGCAUACUUCAAUGGGAUGGCUGCUGAAAGGUUCUCUGUUCGUAAUUCUGGUGCUAAAGCC
rnacentral:lncRNA from 1 species